rnacentral:rRNA from 1 species
GACGUAGGGUCCGAGCGUUGUCCGGAGUUACUGGGCGUAAAGGGCGCGUAGGCGGCUUUGUGCGUCACCCGUGAAAGCCCCCGGCUCAACCGGGGAGGGUCGGGUGAAACGGCGGAGCUGGAGGCAGCGAGAGGCUGGUGGAAUUCCCGGAGUAGUGGUGAAAUGCGUAGAGAUCCGGAAGAACACCGGUGGCGAAGGCGGUCUGCUGGGCAGUUGCUGACACUGAGGCGCGACAGCGUGGGGAGCAAACAGG